rnacentral:rRNA from 1 species
AUUGAACGCUGGCGGCAGGCUUAACACAUGCAAGUCGAGCGGAUGAAGGCUGCUUGCUCCUGGAUUCAGCGGCGGACGGGUGAGUAAUGCCUAGGAUUCUGCCUGCUUGUGGGGGAUAACGUCCGGAAACGGGCGCUACUACCGCAUACUUCCUGCGGCAGAAAGUGGGGGAUCUUCGGACCUCACGCUAUCAGAUGAGCCUAGGUGGGUGUAGCUAGUUGGUGGGGUAAAGGCCUACCAAGGCGACGAUCCGUAACUGGUCUGAGAGGAUGAUCAGUCACACUGGAAGUGAGACAGGGUCCAGACGCCUGAGGGAGGGAGCAGUGGGGAAUGUUGGGCAAUGGGCGGAAGCCUGAUCAAGCCGUGCCGAGUGUGUGAAGAAGAUCUUCGGAUUGGAAAGAACUGUAAGGUGGGAGGAAGGGCAGUAAGUUAAUACCUAGCUGUUUUGACGUUACCAGCAGAAUAAGCACCGGCUAACUUCGUG